rnacentral:rRNA from 1 species
GCUUAGCCGCAAACUUUUAAUUACACUCACAACGCCAGGGUACUACGAGCAAAGCUUAAAACCCAAGGGACUUGACGGUACCCCAUAUCCCCCUAGAGGAGCCUGUCCUGUAAUCGAUAAUCCCCGUUUAACCUCACCAUUUUUAGCUAUAUCAGUCUGUAUACCUCCGUCGCCAAUUUACCCCGUGAGCGUCUGAUAGUAAGUGAAAUGUCUUAUUACUCAACUAUACGUCAGGUCAAGGUGCAGCAAAUAAAAUGGGAAGAGAUGGGCUACACUCUCUAACUUAGAAUACACGGAAAACUCGUCAUGAAAAGAGUUUGAAGGCGGAUUUAGUAGUAAGCGGGGCUCAGAGAACCCCCCUUAAACCGGCACUGGGGUGUGUACACACCGCCCGUCACCCUCUUCGCAGCCAUUAAAUAGUGUUUUACAACCCCCAUGCACAGUAGAAGAGGCAAGUCGUAACAUGGUAAGUAUACCGGAAGGUGUGCUUGGAAA